GGCUUUGGCUUUGAUGAUAAAUCUAGGAUUUCUGGGUUAAAAGUGUCUAGCCUACAGCAUGUCAAUCUCAAACUCAUUAUUUCCAAUUUGAUUUCGCUUUCUAAAUGAAGUGCUCAUCUUUUUUUAUUUUUUAUAUAUCUAUUUUGCAAUAACUUGAGGUAAAGUGUGCAUUGGAUUGCUUGUUUCUUGUAAACCAAUUUAUUUAAUUGUUGAAAUGCUUUAUAAAUGUCUAAAGAGGAUUAAUGAAGAAUUUCUUGGCAGUUUGUACUGUUAUUUGUUAUGGU
rnacentral:misc_RNA from 1 species